UCACGUUCUCGUGGUCAGGCUCAUGGUAAUCUUUUGUUUCCACCUCUACAAAUGUUGGGACUACAGACAUAUGCUGCUAUGCCUGGUUUAUGAAAAAAUUCUCAAAAGGAGUACUAUUAUAUACAAUAAGUUAAUAGAACCUAUUAAACUUCAGAGGUUAAAUAAAUUGAGGGUAGAGAUUGUUUUAAAGGAUUAAACAAAGCUUAAUAAGAGAAACUGGAUACUUAGGAGUACAUUGCUAACAGUACUCUUUUUAAAGCCUUCAUGUUACUUAGUUAGGUCUUACUUGAUUUGUUUUGCUAAUACUUUUUUUUUUUAACUUUGUCAGGGAUAGUUUAUAUACUAGAAUUUUUAUUUAUAAUUUAUUGACUUGAAGAAGGUUUUUUUUCCCUCCCCUCGUGAAUUUAUUUACUUUCAAAGUAUAUGUAGUUCACAGAGGUAGGAGGACCUCUCCAUUCGGACUGCUAGGAUUGAAGGUGUGUGACACUGUGCCAGGCUUUAAUUUCUUUCUUCAAUUACGUUUACCUAGUGGUGGUGGUGGUGGUGCCUGCCUCUAAUUCCAGUAGUUAGGAGACAGGUGCAGAGGCAGGAGCAUCUCUGUGACUUUGAGGCCAGCCUGAUUUGCAGAGCAUGGUCCAGGACAGCCAGGUUUACAGAGAGUUCUGUCUUGAAAAUCUGAAGAGUUUAAGUUCGCUAAGUAAUUUUCAUACAUGCAGGGCAUCAUUAUGCUUUGUUCUGGUUCUCUCGCCUUCACUGUUCUUUCUCCUUCCAUAUUCUCCUACUCUUACUGCUAGCCUCCUUUUCAAAAUCAUUUUUCUCUUUUCAUUUUAUUAUUUAUUUACAGACAGGUUCUCACUAUAUAGCUCUGAGUGGUCUGAAACUCCCUAUGUAAACAGAGAUCCCACCUGCCUCUGCUUCUCAGGUGCUGGGAUUAAAAGCAGGUGUCACUGAGCCUAGGCCGGCCUGCCUACCUACCUUCCUUCCUUCUUUUUCUUCCUUCCUUUAGUGAGAUAAGAUCUUAUUGUGUAGCCCAGGCCAGCCCUCUGUUUACCAUUCUCUUUAGCAUUCCUAGUGGGAUAAUUACUGGCAUGUGUCGUAAUUGGCUGGCUCUUAUCUUUUUUACUUUUUGUGGUCUUGAUGGAACUCAAUGCUUUAUGUACUAUAAGUAACUUUUCCACCUCUAAGUCACAGAUCUGACACUUCUUUGUUUUGCUUUUGUUAUUGUUGCUUCAGUUUUUGAGAAAUAAUAUCACUUUCUGGCCCAGGUUAGCCUUAAACUCAUUGUGGUCUUUGUAUUUGAGUGUUGAGAUAACACUGUCGAGAUUACAAAUGAGUAUUUGAACUGGGCAUAUUCUUUCAGGAUUACAGGAAGUUUGUCACUCUUACAAUAAUUGCUUAAUAAUUGCAGAAUUGUUGGUAUGCCUUUUAAAAUCUGAACAUCUGCCCUGUAUUUGGAGAUGACUUUAGGCACAAUUGAGUCCAUUUUCACAUAGAACAUACCAGUCAAGUUUAAAAGAUAUAAAGGAUCUCUGAAUUAGCCAGGGCUCUAUAGUGAGACUGUCUCAAAAUU
rnacentral:lncRNA from 1 species